CCUGCGGAGGGAAACAGGGCGACAGGCAGACCUGGAGUCUGGACGCACUUCACACACAUUUCUGCCAAAAACUCCACAGGAAAAAAACCCACAGUGACGGGCCUGAAGAUGUUUCAGCAGGGCUCUCUUUGUUUUAAAGUAGCUGCUCUGUAUUUCCUGCUGCUGAUACUGAUGCCGCGUUACAUCACAACGUAUUGAUCUAACGCGUAGUUAAGAUCAGCCAAGUGUGAGGAAACAUUCCCAUCAGCUUCGUUAUGAGUCUCAGUACGAGGAGGAGACAUUAUAAACAAACAAACUACAGCCAGAAUUAAACUGCAGAGCUGCUGCUGAUGGACUUAAAUGUAAAAUCCAACUUUAACAGUCGAGCUAACAUUAGUGUCACCGACUGUUCUGUUUGUAUGUCCCUCUUGAGUUGCCGUAGGGCAGAGACAGUUUGGGGACUUGUGCUUCUGUGAGAGUUUUGGUGUGAAGAAAACUGAACGGGCAGCGUUAACUGUUGGAGCUGUUACACCGUCUGCUGAACCCAGGACGCUCGGCUACAACAGUUACAUUAACGAGACCCAGAGUCCACCGCCACGCUGACAUGUUGGCAUUCAUCAUGUUGUCAUGCUAUCAUUUGCUCAUUAGCACUGAGCAGUGUGCGGCUACUUUAGGGAUGAUCUGCUGAUUUCAACCAGCUGUUCAUCAGAGCAGUGUGGCAUGUCUGUGAAAAUGAACUGUGGUAAAGUUUCCUCCAUCUGACCAGCGCUCACAUCUCUCUGCUCCUCUGCCAGAACAAAUCUGCAGCUCUCAAACUACAGAUUGUGUUGACUCAUCUCUGUUUGCCCGCCACCACGGACACAAAGAGUAUAGGAGCAGAUCCAGAAACAGACCCGCCCCUCUGUCUCACACUCAGAGCAAAUAGUAAAUUUUAAACACACAAAUUAUUGAUUUUAGUACAAAUUAAACUUUUGAUAAGAGUCAUAACUGAGAGCUUUUUCAGUCCUCUACAUACAAUUUGCUGCAAUAAAAAUGACUGAAGUCAAACUGAGAGGCUGAAAACUUUUUAUCUUAUUAAAUAAAACAGAUGAUGAUUUUUGAAGAAGUUUUGGGAAAAAAUGUACAACCGAAAAAUCUAAUAAAUCACAAUAUAUCACAGUCAGUGUUAUCGCAAUACUCAGCAUAUUGCAACACUGCACUAAUAUUGUAUCGUAGGGUGUCCGGUGAUUCACAACCCUAACUCUCACAGAACAGUUCAAUGAUAUCCUACGAAAUUUGCGCCCCACUAAUGACGUUACGUCCUUAACGUACAGUUGUGUAAUUAACGUAAAGUUACUGUGGUUAAGUUUAAGAAUAGAAACAUGAGGACGGGACUUAAAAUGACUCAGAGUUCACACAGAUCCAAACACGUGACUCAGCCCACCAGCCCAACCUGCCUCCUCGCAAGCGCUCGGACUGCUUCCUGUUUACUGCUUUUGUUUCCUCACUGUAGCCAGUAUCUCACUGUCACUAUCCUCACUCAGAUUUUAAGAAGCUACAAAUUAUAUUCAGCCACAAAAUAAGUCUGAAAAUCUUUGGUCUGAACUUCACUUUGCAGUCAGCCAUCCUGGAAUAAUGUGAGACCACGUCCACGUCGUAACAACGUUGUUCUGUGAGUCACAAACACUAGUUUGUUUGUUUUUAUCAGCUGCUGCAGGAAACUUUAGAUUCUUGUCUUGUUGUGAACCAUGAAAGUUUCCAGAGUUAUAAAAGCUUUCAUAAACUGAUUAUAAGUUGGAUCUGUGUUGCUUUAUAUCAGCUGCUGAUAGAGAGCAGCUAGACGGAGAUGGACUGAUAUGAAAAUGUGAGUUUAAGAAGCAGAUGGUGUUUGUUGCUUUACAGGACAGAUUACAGGAACAACAAACCUGUGUGUGUGAGCUGUGUCCUCAGACUACCUGAGAACAAACGCUGUGUUGUGUGACUCAGUGCUGCUGACCAGCUGCAGAUUGCUUCACCUCCCUGAGAGCCUGACACAUGAAGAUAAGUUACUGAUUUCCAUAUUCCAGGAAAAAAAAGGAGGUCUGGGAGGAACCGCUGUGAAAAACAACAUCCUCAGAGAAAGCGAAGGGAGGACAGUGUUGAGUGUUGAGUGUUUGUCUCCCACAGAUAUCAGACGACAAAUGAAAACACGUCAUCAAACAAGUGACCAGCACGGGAACAAAAGCGAGUCCUAAUUAAGCGAAUGUUCUGAUCUAACGAGCUCGAGUCCUGAGCAGGCACCUGGUGUGUUUUAAAUCAUAGUGUUUUGGAGAUGUAACCGCAGAGUGACACAGACACACCACCGCACAAGUAUUAAUGCUCACGCAGGCUCUGCAUAGAGCUGACACACAGAUAUCAAUCCACCUUAAGGUCCGAACACACACAUGCACAUACUGGACCUAUACAUGCACUAAGUGGAGAGAUGUCAGAGUGGGCUGCCCAUGACAGGCGCUCCGAGCGGUUGGGGGGUUUGGUGCCUUGCUCAGGGGCACCUCUCCAGCUACCAGUCCACGCUCCAUAUUUUGGUCCGGACGGGGACUUGAGAAAGGAAGUGGAAGAAAGCAAAGAAUCUCAGCAGAGAGCUGCCGUCCUCUCUUCAGCCAAUUUGAGCUCCUGAGCUCUGGGAGGCGCUACAGAGUCUUAACUUAAGAAGUUCUUCAUCCCAGCUGACAUCAGGAUCCUCGACACAGUGGGUGCUGAGUUUUAAAGCACAGACAGAUGAUCAGCUGAUUUCAUGUGUUCAGUGUUUAUUCACAUGCUUCAGUCACCAGGUGCUGCCAGUGUUGGAACUGUACAUUUUAUUCAGUGUACGAAUCCUCACAAAUGUCUGUUCUCCCUGACGUUGUAAAGCCUGUCGUAUACGCACAGCACUGUUUUGUCUUUCCCUGGAUCCCAUCUUGAAAAGCAUCUUUGGCGCUCUCUGACAUUUUGGCGUGAUGUUCCUCGGCUGCAGAUUCAGAGUCAGAGUCACAGUCAGAUUCAGACGGCUGCUCUCCAGCGGGGAAGUUUUUGAUCUGUCAGAUUUAAACUUGGUGAUAAAUCUUCAGACAUGGGAGCAGAAACUUUUCGGGGAGUGGAGCACAGUGUUACUGCAUCUGACUCUUCACAGCCUCUGUAUGUGAAUGAGACGGGUCUGCUGGGCGGCGUCUCCAUGACGACGAACAUUUGUGCUGAUUCUGAAUAAAUCUGCUCGAACAGAGAAUUCACACAGAAACUGUUUGAAUUAUGAUGUCUGUUUGAGUCAUGAUGUCUGUUUGAGUCAUGAUGUCACUUCCUGGUCUGUAACUUAAUGCAAUCUCUCACUCAGCAUUACUCUCAUCUGUCUGUCUGAAAACAUGAAGUCUGUUCCUGGAGUUUACUUCCUAGUUUAUUCUGAGACAAAUCAACAGAGUAUAAACUGUAGAGGAUCUCCUCCCCAGACUCUCUGUGCUCCUCUAUUGAAUGAGGUGAAGGAGUUCAGAGGCCUGAGGAAUGAAAUGAUGUCAAACAGACUUUGAAGGAGUUUGAAUUAAAGACAGUGAAAUGGUUCUAAAAUGGCUGAAAACCUUUCUGUCAAGUAUUCAACGACCUCAGAAUGAGACCGUGUUGUGCAUCCUGUUUGGAUCUGAGACAGUAGACGAAGCACCGAAUCUACAGUCACAUCUUCUACAGACUUUAUACUUGUGGUUUAUAUUCAACACAUUCCUGCACUGACUGUACAGAACUUUGUGUUUUCUGUUGUAACUGUUUCUAUUUUACAGCUAGUUAUGUUUUAUAUGAGGUCUCUGACCUUUCACACUGUGUUUCUGUUAAUGCAACUUGUACAUGCAAACCUCAGUGAGCUGUAAAAGCACCUGCUCGUCGUCACUCACCUGUUCCUCCUCUCCUCAUCAGUUCCUCAGUAUGUCAGCUGCUCCACUGUCAGUCACUCUCUGUCAGACUGUCUCUGAGCUGUGUCCCUCACAGUUGCAGUUUUUGAUAUUUGUUUUCUGACUUUAAUCUAGACUUUGACCCUGCCUGUAGUUUUUCAGAUUCAGCUUCAGUCCAACCAUCCUGAUACUGACACUGUGUCGCAUGGGUGCAGAUCUGAUGACAAGUUUGGGGGGGACACAAUCAGUCGCUUGAGAUUGCCAGCAUAUGUCACGAUUUCAUAGAGGCUCAUCACCAUCACCAAGUCAUUCAAAAAGCACUACAAAGAGAAUCAUAUGCUUACCUUUACUGUUUAUUUCUCUUAAACAGCCAGUAGCACAUGGAGCCAGCCAUCACCCUCCUUUUCACUGCUUCGCUGUUAGUUAAUGCUACUUCUAGUUUCAGGGUCUCAGGCAUGUUAUGUCCACUCACGUUCUCAUCUCUCGCCUCUCAUGGAUUCCCAUUUCUCCUCAUCAUCUUCCCUUUCUCCCAGUAUAUAGGACUACUGUAUACAUUUGUUCAAUUUCAAUCAUUUAAGCUAUUUAGAAUUCGGAGGGACAAUUUGUGUUUUUCAGAAUUUGGGGGCGACAUGUCCCCCCCGUCCCCCCCAUGAUCUGCACCCAUGUUGU